AGAAGACUGCUCCGUCCAGCAGCAGACACAGAGAAAGAUGAUGGCCAACUCUCAGGAAACCAGAUCUCCCCUAAUCCCCAAAUUGUGUCUCCUGGGGAUCGUUAACCAAACAUCUUGUCCACAGCUUAAUUGCAGCCAAUUAUGCCAGCAGGGAAAAGUGCACCUUCAUUGUCUGGACACAAAGCAAAGCUGAGCAGGAGAGCUGGAUCAAUCUACUCAGAGAAAAUGUAACAAAUGGGGCUUUAUUUUCUCAGAUCACAGCCAUGCAUUUCCAGCACUUGGGCUUUCCAUCGCUCUCAUAGCGUUUCUAUUGAAUGGGGUCAGAUUCAGGCGUCCUCACAGGGAUGACCUUCUGAUCUCCACCUCUGCCUCUCUUCGUAGCUGAGUGCAAAAAGCUCUGCGAAGAGCUCAUCCUUACCCCUGCAACCAGCUGUCCCACCAAGGCUGCUUCCUGGGACCAGCUCCAGCCUGAACAUCUCAGCCCAUUCCAGCUGGGCCAAACCAGCUCUGCCUUCCCAAAGCUGCUCUCAGCUCCUCUCCCAUCUGCUGCUCUCUGGCACAGAGGCAGCAGCAAGGCAGAGCCUUGGGUACCUGCCACCAACCCCGUUUUGCAUUCAAAGCCAUCUCACAUGUUGUCUUGAGCGCCCACUCAGCCCAGAGCAGCUGCAAUUCCAAAAAAACCCCACAGAAGUGGCAGAAGAUGAUACUCAAGGCAGUGUUAAGCACAAGUGAUCGGGCUGUGCACCAGCAAAAGCUCCCAGCUGCACAGUCCUCAGCUUCUCUGCUACAAUCUUAAGAGAGAAACUGCUAACCCUGCACUGACUUCGAGCUCAUUUGAAUCAAGUGUUAAUAAAGCCUCCUUCUGAUGUUUUUUCUCCUUCUCCCUUUUGCAGUCUAUUUCUUCUCCCUCAGUUUUCUCUUCUUUCUCCCCCUGCCCUUUUCCCCUAAGAAAUGAGCUAAGGAUGAGAAGUAUCUGUUUUCUGUUUGCUCUGUG
ensembl:lncRNA